GACGAACGCUGGCGGCGUGCCUAAUACAUGCAAGUAGAACGCUGAAGGAGGAGCUUGCUUCUCUGGAUGAGUUGCGAACGGGUGAGUAACGCGUAGGUAACCUGCCUGGUAGCGGGGGAUAACUAUUGGAAACGAUAGCUAAUACCGCAUAAUAGUAGAUGUUGCAUGACAUUUGCUUAAAAGGUGCAAUUGCAUCACUACCAGAUGGACCUGCGUUGUAUUAGCUAGUUGGUGGGGUAACGGCUCACCAAGGCGACGAUACAUAGCCGACCUGAGAGGGUGAUCGGCCACACUGGGACUGAGACACGGCCCAGACUCCUACGGGAGGCAGCAGUAGGGAAUCUUCGGCAAUGGACGGAAGUCUGACCGAGCAACGCCGCGUGAGUGAAGAAGGGUUUCGGGUCGUAAAGCUCUGUUGUAAGAGAAGAACGAGUGUGAGAGUGGAAAGUUCACACUGUGACGGUAUCUUACCAGAAAGGGACGGCUAACUACGUG
rnacentral:rRNA from 1 species